GAUCCGGUGUGGGUGUCCGUGCGCCGGCCUUUCUGGGAUGGGUGCCACGGGGUGAGGACGUGGUGUGGCCUGUGAAAGUAUGCAUUACCGAAGAGCAGGAUGCUCCCAAUGUGGAAUUACCUGAGAAUGUCAGGAUUGGAGCAGGGGAAUGACUUCAAGAUUCUGACUGCUGACAUUAGAUGGCCUCAGCUGUCUGCACAGCCCCAAACAUCAAUAUAAUCACCAGCACCACCAUCUGAUGUUUGACUGCCGCUCAGCAUUACUGACAGGUGUGUUGUCAUAAUCUUGCCC